AUUGAACGCUGGCGGCAUGCUUUACACAUGCAAGUCGAACGGUAACAGGCCUUCGGGUGCUGACGAGUGGCGAACGGGUGAGUAAUGCAUCGGAACGUACCCAGAGGUGGGGGAUAACGCAGCGAAAGCUGUGCUAAUACCGCAUGUGAUCUGAGGAUGAAAGCGGGGGACCGAGCAGCAAUGUUUGGCCUCGCGCCUUUGGAGCGGCCGAUGUCGGAUUAGCUAGUUGAUGGGGUAAAGGCCUACCAAGGCGACGAUCCGUAGCUGGUCUGAGAGGACGACCAGCCACACUGGGACUGAGACACGGCCCAGACUCCUACGGGAGGCAGCAGUGGGGAAUUUUGGACAAUGGGCGCAAGCCUGAUCCAGCAAUGCCGCGUGCGGGAAGAAGGCCUUCGGGUUGUAAACCGCUUUUGGCAGGAACGAAACGGUGUCCGCUAAUACCGGGCGCUAAUGACGGUACCUGCAGAAUAAGCACCGGCUAACUACGUG
rnacentral:rRNA from 1 species